CGACACGAGCGUCCUGGAGGUAUGCAAAGCUUCCCUCGGCUGGAUGUUCGGCAAGCCGGAGAUUAACUUUGACCUCCAGCUGGACCAAUCAGAGCUGUGUGCCGUCCGCAGUGACUCCCUCAAGGACAAGCAAGCUCUCCAGCAAGACGAGACAUUGACACACUGGGAUGGAUGAACUUUGACCUCCUGCUGGACCUAGCAGAGAUGAGCACCAUCGACCUGGACAAGAAUGAGCUGUGCAUGAAGCCUCUCUUCCAACUCCUCUCCUGUGAGAGUCCUUCAGGGUCGGCAAGCUGUCCUACAACGAGUGGUGUUACUGCUUCCAACAACCUGGGGGUUUGACCCGCCAAAGUAGCAGAAAUGUGUUCCAGACGCAGUGGAGGG